UACAGGGGGUGCAAACGUUGCUCGGAAUCAUUGGGCGUAAAGCGCACGUAGGCGGUCUGUUAUGUCGGAUGUGAAAGCCCUGGGCUCAACCUAGGAAGUGCAUUCGAAACUUCCAAGCUGGAGUGCUGGAGAGGAAAGCGGAAUUCUCGGUGUAGAGGUGAAAUUCGUAGAUAUCGAGAGGAACACCGGUGGCGAAGGCGGCUUUCUGGACAGUCACUGACGCUGAGACGCGAAAGCGUGGGGAGCAAACAGG
rnacentral:rRNA from 1 species